GGGCAGAGACGUGGAGAAGGAUGAAGGGAGAGCAUUCUGGUAGAGCAAUAAGGAGGCUAAGAGGAGUUGAGCCAGGCAGCCGGUAGAGCAGGCAGAUGGAACAAGAGAGACAGAGAACAGAGCCACCGAGUGGGCACGCAGUGAGGCCUGGCAGCCAAGCCCUAUGGAUUUCCGAGAGAAGCAGAUGCUUCCACAGGAGCAGCAGCUGGUGGUCCCUGAGUGUGUGCCUCCUUGUUGACUCUAGGCCCAGUGCAGCCUCCUGGGCAGCCAGCCUCAGCCUGGAGGUGCAGUCUGGGUCUAGAGAGGCAGAUGACAAGCCUUGCCCCUCUUGGCNNNNNNNNNNNNNNNNNNNCUCUUAGGCCCCACCCACCUAUUCCAUCUUCAUUCC
ensembl:lincRNA Gm29172 predicted gene 29172